UCAACCGAAUAAAAAACAAUUAUAUUAAAUUAAAGGGGUAAUUUCCUCAACACAAAAAUAAUCACAAAGCUGGAUUCACAAUUCAAAUAUCGACCAGUUUUUGUCCAUUUCAAGCGUGAAAGAAAUGAAUAAUUUUAUCUAGCUUCAAUCUACAUGACCAUACUUGAUAGAUUCAAUUUAAUAAAUAAUGGAACAUUGCUUCUAAACAAAUCUAUCAUUUAAUGCCAUGCUGUUAUUACUUAGAUUGAUGCUUGAUACUAUUGGUGCUGAAUAAUGAAAGAAAUAGAGUAAGCUGGAGCCCGACAAAUUGCUUCAAAUUUGUGGAGACGGUAAAAUACUGGAAAUAUCAAUACAGUGCAGUGCUAUCCAUCCUGCAUUCUUUUCAUUAUUUUCCAAGCAUAAAACCAGGACCUGAAAUCACACAAAGAAGAUGGUAUUUGAGCAAAUAUAUCCAAAUGUAAAAGGGAUUUCAAUACACAAUAAUCUAGGAGAAUAGAUUUUUUUAUUUCAGGGUUUCCUCAGCAUUUUUAUGCCAUCUCCACCGUUUUUCUUUCUGAAAAGAACAAAAUCAAGAAGAGCACCGUAAGAAAAAAAAACUUUCCCAGAAGGAUUGAAAAAAACUGGAAUAUAUCAUAUAGAUACUUACAGUGAUUUCUCUGAAUCUAUCUAGGUUUACUAUCUUUUAAGGUAUUCAUUUGGUUGAAUCCCUGUAGAGGAAUGAGUGAGGCUGUCCGAGCAUGACCUAACUAGGGUUAGUAUUCUCCCAUCGUCUCUUCUGAACUUUUAAAUUCGAAGUUUAACCCUGGUUAGAUCAUGCUGGCAGCUUCACUUAUUCCUUCUCUAGAGGAAAUUUCUUAACUGCCUCAUGGCCCUAUGAGAACCUUGAACCUGAAGAAAGAAGAAAAGAAGGAACAAAUUAAGAUGACUUUAACUGCACGAAUCGACUUUAGAGAACCAAGAAGGGGGUGGGAAUUGCUUGUUAUUUAUAGGAGGAGGUUGGAGAAAAAGUAAGGCCCGUUUCAUUGAACGAAAUUUUUCA
rnacentral:lncRNA from 1 species